rnacentral:tRNA from 1 species
UCUAGAUCGACGGGCCUUGAUCCCGCAAAUAUUUUAAUUAACAACUAAACGCCCUAUCCAGCGGACUUCAACCUA